rnacentral:lncRNA from 1 species
CCCCUCCCCCUAAUUCCCUCUCUCUUGUGCAGCAGCCCCCAUCCCCUCAACCCUAGCCGCCACCCCCUCCCAUCUCCUCCUCUCCAAGUGAUGUCCUUCCUCGCCGGAUCUUCUUCGUGUGGGUGCAAGUUCCGAUUGGAGAAUUGGUGGGAGGAAGGAAGGAGGAAAGGAGGAACCCAAGGUGAUUUUGUGAUUAACUCUUGUUUAUUUGUGCUGCAAUUCAAUCGAUUAGAUGUUUACGUAUGCGAAUUAGUAGAGGUGCUGUCCAGAAAUUUUGUGGGUGCGCGAACAGCAGUAGUUCUAGCAGAUUCUGGGAAUUUUUCGUGGGUAAUUAGUGGGAAUCAGUGGGAGAAUCAUGUAGAGCUUUUUCAUACCUUUCCAACGAUUACUUAUGCACUCGAUUCGGAGUUAUAUUUUAGGAGAUAUUGCUGUUUGAAUCCGGGUAUGUUGCUGUCCAAAAAAACAGAUUUGCAGGUGGGCAAACAGCAGUAGUAUUAGCAGUUUCUGGGGAUUUUUCGUGGGAAAUUGGUGAUAAUCAAUAUGAGAAUCAUGUAGAGCUUUUUCAUACCUUUCCAACGAGUACUUAUGCGCUCGAUUCGGAGUUAUAUUUUAGGAGAUAUCGCUGUUUGAAUCCGGGUAUGUUGCUGUCCAAAAAAACAGAUUUAUACAGGUGGGCGAACAGCAGUAGUAUUAGCAGUUUCUGGGAAUUGUUCGUGGGAAAUUGGUGAUAAUCAAUAUGAGAAUCAUGUAGAGCCUUGUCAUACCUUUCCAACGAGUACUUAUGCGUUCGAUUCGGAGUUAUAAUUUAGGAGAUAUCGCUGUUUGAAUCCGGUUAUGUUGCUGUCCAAAAACAGAUUGCAGGGUGUAUCUUGUAGACGAGUUUGGGCUAAUUAGAUGCUGGAAUUUAAUUAUUAUUUGAAUAUAAAACUUGUGGGAAAUUUUAUGUAGAUGCUUCCGUAGUUUUUGAUUGAUAUCACUGCUGUUAUAAUUUUAAAGUUAUGAAAUUAUCAAGCAGCACCGCUGCAGUUUGGUGGUGAUGGGGAGAGUUGUCGCUCGCAACGGGUUGGAAUUGUGCGUAGGUGCGGCGUUGUUUAUUAGCGUUUGUUAUGUUGAUUUGUACACUAAGGUGUGUGUCAAAAACAGGUGGUGGACUUCCGGAUCGUACUUAGUACCAUUCCAAAUUCCCGGUGAAGGCAAGUAAAUACAGUGGUGGUUGCUACCGUUUGGUUUGCAUCCUAUGCCUUGUCAUUGAGUAUGCAUAAGUAUUAAAUGUGUUAAUCAUUGAAUUCUAUGAUGAAGUUUAUUUGUUCGAAAGAAUUAAUUCUCAAUUGUCUAAUAUUGAGGAUGAUCAUGAUUUGGGAAUGAUAUAUGUGGUUGAUUCCCAUCUUGGAUGAAGUUGAAGUAUCUCUUUGAAUCAUGUUGUAUGAAGUGUUGUAGGCAUGUCAUGCACAUCGCAUCAUCCAUAUUGCAUUUUGAAGUUAUGUCGUGAUCUUAUGGUCCGACCGUAUCGGUACACUUUUAGCAUCGUACGUUGCCCGAGGAGGGGUACGAUGCGGCUUCAUAUCCUUAGAGGUAUGAAGGCAGAAGUCAUCCUUGCAUUUGCAGACAUUUGCACUCAUGAGGUAUAUAUGAAGUGUGACAUUACUAUGUUACUAUUGUGGUUUCUACCUGUGAGGUGUGGUAACUAGGUGUGUUGUACGUUGUAUUCGUGCUGCACCUUCGUAAUAAGAAGGUUGCGAAAUCAAAUGGUGGUAAAACAAUGUUCUUAUGUGGUUAAACAGUUUGUUAUUAUUUUACUUGCUGAGAUGUGUCAUCUCACUCUUGCAUUACUCAAUGCAGGUACUUGAUAUAUGUUGGGAAUGAGGGGAGUAGCAGCACGUCCACUUUCACUCUCAUAUUAAAGCUGCCCAAGCGCAUCCAUGAUUUAAUUAGAAACUUGAUGUCAAAGGAUGUUUGUUUUUUUUUACUAGUCAUGCGCACUGGUUAAUUCAGUUCAUGUCGUAUGUUUAACUUUCCUUUGCUAGCCGUUUAAUAAUACUUAGUAUGUUUUUUUUGUCAUGAUACAUGUUUAUACACUGUUGCCCCCUCCUUUAUGCUAUUUUGCAAAGGAGAUGCUGUCGAAAUUUUAUAUACGGAUGUCAGAAGUGUAGUUCAGUAGCAUUCCGGGGUGUUUGUGGAUUCCGGGAUGUUACAGUUGGUAUCAGAGCAUAGGCUUUAGAUUCUACGCAAUUUGAAGAUAAAUUUGACACACUUGCACAUAUAGGAAGGG